CCUCCCUGAAGCCUGAACUCAGCAGGCCCCAGCAAGCCAGGAAGGAGGCUGGCAGAGCUCCCUGCAGCAGACCAGACCAUCCAGCACAGCUUUUGUAAGGGAGGCAGUGGAUGUCCUGAAUCUGGGACUGGAGGCCAUGAUGGGUUGGAUGUGGGCUAAUAAACUGAGACUGAUUCUGGACAAGAUGAAGGGCCUCACAGCUCCUACAGUGAAAUAGAUGGAGGAUGUGUGACAACAGUGCUUGAUGGAGCCACAGUUACCACAGUGAGAGAGUGCUCAGAUGACUGCAAUGCUGCUUGUGAUGGGAAGAGGACUGUUGUUGGUAAACUCUGGAUCUGAAUGAUCUCUCGAUCUCCUUCUCUCUCUCCCUCUGUUUGGACACCAUUUGCAGAAAGCUAUUGAUGGUAUAAGAAAAUAAUGUUAAUCUAUGCUCAAGGCAGAUUUUCUCAUUUUGUGUAGAGCUCAGAUAUCUAGUGCUUUUCACUUAAAAUAAAGAUGUGCACCCCAAA